CGCGGCCUAUCAGCUUGUUGGUGGGGUAGUGGCUUACCAAGGCUUUGACGGGUAGCCGGCCUGAGAGGGUGACCGGCCACAUUGGGACUGAGAUACGGCCCAGACUCCUACGGGAGGCAGCAGUGGGGAAUAUUGCACAAUGGGCGGAAGCCUGAUGCAGCAACGCCGCGUGCGGGAUGACGGCCUUCGGGUUGUAAACCGCUUUCGCCUGUGACGAAGCGUGAGUGGCGGUAAUGGGUAAAGAAGCACCGGCUAACUACGUGCCAGCAGCCGCGGUGAUACGUAGGGUGCGAGCGUUGUCCGGAUUUAUUGGGCGUAAAGGGCUCGUAGGUGGUUGAUCGCGUCGGAAGUGUAAUCUUGGGGCUUAACCCUGAGCGUGCUUUCGAUACGGGUUGACUUGAGGAAGGUAGGGGAGAAUGGAAUUCCUGGUGGAGCGGUGGAAUGCGCAGAUAUCAGGAGGAACACCAGUGGCGAAGGCGGUUCUCUGGGCCUUUCCUGACGCUGAGGAGCGAAAGCGUGGGGAGCGAACAGGCUUAGAUACCCUGGUAGUCCACGCUGUAAACGGUGGGUACUAGGUGUGGGGUCCAUUCCACGGGUUCCGUGCCGUAGCUAACGCUUUAAGUACCCCGCCUGGGGAGUACGG
rnacentral:rRNA from 1 species